rnacentral:rRNA from 1 species
AGUGAACGCUGGCGGUAGGCCUAACACAUGCAAGUCGAACGGCAGCACAGUAAUAGCUUGCUCUUACGGGUGGCGAGUGGCGGACGGGUUAGGAAUACAUCCGAAUCUACUUUUUCGUGGUGGGUGACGGAGGGGCAAAUACCGCAAUACCCCAUCCGGCCUAAGGGUGGAAUCCUGAGAUCUUUCGCACUUGGGGGGUUGGAUGAGCCGAUGUCGGAUUAGCUAGUUGGCGGGGUAAAGGCCCACCAAGGCGACGAUCCGUAGCUGGUCUGAGAGGAUGAUCAGCCACACUGGAACUGAGACACGGUCCAGACUCCUACGGGAGGCAGCAGUGGGGAAUAUUGGACAAUGGGCGCAAGCCUGAUCCAGCCAUACCGCGUGGGUGAAGAAGGCCUUCGGGUUGUAAAGCCCUUUUGUUGGGAAAGAAAAGCAGCAGGUUAAUACCCCGCUGUUCUGACGGUACCCAAAGAAUAAGCACCGGCUAACUUCGUG